rnacentral:misc_RNA from 1 species
AACGCACGAGACCUGCGGACCUGCGGAAGGAUCAUUAGUGAACGCCCUCACGGGCUUAUAACUAUUCCAAACCUCUGUGAACCGUGCCCUUCGGGGCUAUUUUACAAACAUGGUGUAAUGAACGUCAUAUAUCAUAACAAAACAGAACUUUUAACAACGGAUCUCU